GACGAACGCUGGCGGCGCGCUUAACACAUGCAAGUCGAACGUGAAGCCCGGGCUUGCCCGGGUGGAAAGUGGCGAACGGGUGCGUAACACGUGAGCAACCUGCCCCGAAGACCGGGAUAACACCGGGAAACCGGUGCUAAUACCGGAUGCCCUCAUCAUGUCGCAUGGCGAGAUGAGGAAAUGGAUUCCGCUUCGGGAUGGGCUCGCGGCCUAUCAGCUUGUUGGGAGGUAAAGGCUCACCAAGGCUACGACGGGUAGCUGGUCUGAGAGGAUGUCCAGCCACACUGGGACUGAGACACGGCCCAGACUCCUACGGGAGGCAGCAGUGGGGAAUCUUGCACAAUGGGCGAAAGCCUGAUGCAGCGACGCCGCGUGCGGGAUGACGGCCU
rnacentral:rRNA from 1 species